CUCUACUUUUGAGAAUGUGCAAACAGUCUGAUCUUAAGAAGACACUUUUCGUGAACGUAAAUACUAAUUUAUUUCCUGCAACCACAUAUAGUAAAACUGAGAGGACGCUUUGGAAUUGUAGCACUGAGGACAAGACCUACAGAUUGGGUCCUGCAGAGUGACAGCUGCUUGCCCUGGGGGACAGAAAAAAACGUGUCCCUCCUCACAACCCAGCCGUGAUGUUGCUAAGUUUCUAUCCCAUGUCUGGUCUUGCAGAAAGGCAAUCAGAAGAGAAAAUCAAACUAUUGCAUAUUGAAUUUCCAUAAGUGCAACAUUUGAUUAGAACUCAAUUUGCCGACAAGACACAGAAGAAGCGGAGGAAGAGGGUGAUACAGAACUUUUGGGACUAAAGGAGAGAGAAAGACAAAGGAACCAUUGCCUGACCCAGGGGAACACACAAGAAAAUCAAGGGCUUUGGACAAACUGAGUCUAAA